GACGAACGCUGGCGGCGUGCCUAAUACAUGCAAGUCGAACGCUUCUUUCCUCCCGAGUGCUUGCACUCAAUUGGAAAGAGGAGUGGCGGACGGUUGAGUAACACGUGUGUAACCUACCCAUCAGAGGGGGAUAACACUUGGAAACAGGUGCUAAUACCGCAUAACAGUUUAUGCCGCAUGGCAUAAGAGUGAAAGGCGCUUUCGGGUGUCGCUGAUGGAUGGACCCGCGGUGCAUUAGCUAGUUGGUGAGGUAACGGCUCACCAAGGCCACGAUGCAUAGCCGACCUGAGAGGGUGAUCGGCCACACUGGGACUGAGACACGGCCCAGACUCCUACGGGAGGCAGCAGUAGGGAAUCUUCGGCAAUGGACGAAAGUCUGACCGAGCAACGCCGCGUGAGUGAAGAAGGUUUUCGGAUCGUAAAACUCUGUUGUUAGAGAAGAACAAGGACGUUAGUAACUGAACGUCCCCUGACGGUAUCUAACCAGAAAGCCACGGCUAACUACGUG
rnacentral:rRNA from 1 species